rnacentral:rRNA from 1 species
GAUGAACGCUGGCGGCGUGCCUAAUACAUGCAAGUCGAGCGAACGGAUUAAGAGCUUGCUCUUAUGAAGUUAGCGGCGGACGGGUGAGUAGCACGUGGGUAACCUGCCCAUAAGACUGGGAUAACUCCGGGAAACCGGGGCUAAUACCGGAUAACAUUUUGAACCGCAUGGUUCGAAAUUGAAAGGCGGCUUCGGCUGUCACUUAUGGAUGGACCCGCGUCGCAUUAGCUAGUUGGUGAGGUAACGGCUCACCAAGGCAACGAUGCGUAGCCGACCUGAGAGGGUGAUCGGCCACACUGGGACUGAGACACGGCCCAGACUCCUACGGGAGGCAGCAGUAGGGAAUCUUCCGCGAUGGACGAAAGUCUGACGGAGCAACGCCGCGUGAGUGAUGAAGGCUUUCGGGUCGUAAAACUCUGUUGUUAGGGAAGAACAAGUGCUAGUUGAAUAAGCUGGCACCUUGACGGUACCUAACCAGAAAGCCACGGCUAACUACGUGCCAGCCGCCGCAGUAA